UGGGGAAUUUUGCACAAUGGGGGAAACCCUGAUGCAGCGACGCCGCGUGAUUUAGAAGGCCUUCGGGUUGUAAAAAUCUUUUGUAUGGGAAGAAAAUGACAGUACCAUACGAAUAAGGACCGGCUAAUUACGUGCCAGCAGCCGCGGUAAUACGUAAGGUCCGAGCGUUGUCCGGAAUCAUUGGGCGUAAAGGGUACGUAGGCGGAUAAGCAAGUUAGAAGUGAAAUCCUAUAGCUCAACUAUAGUAAGCUUUUAAAACUGCUCAUCAUGAGGUAUGGAAGGGAAAGUGGAAUUCCUAGUGUAGCGGUGAAAUGCGCAGAUAUUAGGAGGAAUACCGGUGGCGAAGGCGACUUUCUGGCCAUAAACUGACGCUGAGGUACGAAAGCGUGGGUAGCAAACAGG
rnacentral:rRNA from 1 species